ACCUGGUUAUAUACUAAGACAUUACCUGGUUAUAACCUAGUUAUAUCCUGAUACAUAACCUGGGUAUAACCUGGUUAUAACCUGGUUAUAUCCUGAGACAUUAC